CUGAGCAAGCCAGCAGCAGCUGCCCGGCCACUCCUGGGAGGCAGACUAGCCAGCUGGACAGACCUGGGUUCAAGUCCCAUUUCUGCUACUUUACUCACUGGCUGUGUGACACCGGCAAGUCCCAGUUCUCAGCCUGCCUUCAGCGGUAAAAAGAGGAUGAGCAGGACAAGAUACUGAAAGAACUUUUAAAACAACUGAUACGUUAGAUACAAUCUGGACCUUCACAGAACUCACAGUCUGCCAGGGAAGAGGAAGAAGAGAGAAACCCAAGGCACAGAGAAGUGAAGCGGCCCCUCCCGUGUCCUCCACACCAGCGAGAGGCAGAGCCUGGACUCACACCUAGGCGUUCUGUGCCCAGACACAGCCUCCUA